AUCCGAGGGAUUCAGAUGGAUCUGAGGGAUCCGAUGGAUCUGAUGGAUCCGAUCCCUCGGAUCCAUCGGAUCCCUCGGAUCCAUCGGAUCCCUCAGAUCCAUCUGAAUCCCUCGGA